AAGUCGAGCGAAUGAAGUUCCUUCGGGAAUGGAUUUAGCGGCGGACGGGUGAGUAACACGUGGGCAACCUGCCUCAUAGAGGGGAAUAGCCUUCCGAAAGGGAGAUUAAUACAGCAUAAGAUUGUAGUACCGCAUGGUACAGCAAUUAAAGGAGCAAUCCGCUAUGAGAUGGGCCCGCGGCGCAUUAGCUAGUUGGUGAGGUAACGGCUCACCAAGGCGACGAUGCGUAGCCGACCUGGAGAGGGGUGAUCGGCCACAUUGGGACUGAGACACGGCCCCAGACUCCUACGGGGAGGCAGCAGUUGGGGAAUAUUGCACAAUGGGGGGAAAACCCUGAUGCAGGCAACGCGGCGUGAGUGAAUGACCGGCCUUUCGGGGUUGGUAAAGCUUCUUGUCUUUCAGGGGACCGAUAAUUGACGGGUACCUGGAGGGAGGAAGCCACGGCUUAACUUACCGUGCCAGCAGGCCCGCGGGUAAUUACGUAGGGUGGGCGAGCGUUGUCCGGAUUUACUGGGCCGUAAAAGGGGAAGCGUAGCCGGAUUUUUUAAGUGAAGAUGUGAAAUACUCGGGCUUAACCUGGAGUGCUGCAUUUCAAACUGGAAGUCUAGAGUGCAGGAGAGGAGAAGGGAAUUCCUAGUGUAGCGUGAAUGCGUAGAGAUUAGGAAGACACCAGUGCGAAGGCGCUUCUCUGGACUGUAACUGACGCUGAGCUCGAAGCGUGGGAGCAACAGGAUAGAUACCUGUAGUCACGCGUAACGAUGAUACUAGUGUAGGCUGUCAUGACUCUGGCGCGCUACGCAUUAAGAUCGC
rnacentral:rRNA from 1 species